rnacentral:tRNA from 2 species
GUCCGGGUGGCGGAAUAGGCAGACGCGGGGGGCUUAAACCCCCCUGGCUAGAAAUAGCCGUAUGGGUUCAAGUCCCAUCCCGGGCA